GAUCCUGGCUCAGGAUGAACGCUAGCUACAGGCUUAACAUAUGCAAGUCGAGGGGCAGCAUGGUCUUAGCUUGCUAAGGCCGAUGGCGACCGGCGCACGGGUGAGUAACACGUAUCCAACCUGCCGUCUACGUCUUGGACAGCCUUCUGAAAGGAAGAUUAAUACAAGAUGGCAUCAUGAGUCCGCAUGUUCACAUGAUUUAAAGGUAUUUCCGGUAGA
rnacentral:rRNA from 1 species